rnacentral:rRNA from 1 species
UACAGAGGGUGCAAGCGUUAAUCGGAAUUACUGGGCGUAAAGGGCGCGUAGGUUGUUACGUAAGUGAGUUGUGAAAUCCCCGGGCUUAACCUGGGAACUGCAACUUAGACUGCGUAACUGGAGUGCAAUAGAGGGUAGUGGAAUUUCCGGUGUAGCGGUGAAAUGCGUAGAUAUCGGAAGGAACACCAGUGGCGAAGGCGGCUACCUGGAUUGACACUGACACUGAGGCGCGAGAGCGUGGGGAGCAAACAGG